AACGAACGCUGGCGGCAUGCCUAACACAUGCAAGUCGAACGAGACCUUCGGGUCUAGUGGCGCACGGGUGCGUAACGCGUGGGAACCUGCCCUUAGGUUCGGAAUAACUCCCCGUAAGGGGUGCUAAUACCGGAUAAUGUCUUCGGACCAAAGAUUUAUCGCCUUUGGAUGGGGCCGCGUUGGAUUAGCUAGUUGGUAGGGUAAAAGCCUACCAAGGCGACGAUCCAUAGCUGGUCUGAGAGGAUGAUCAGCCACACUGGGACUGAGACACGGCCCAGACUCCUACGGGAGGCAGCAGUGGGGAAUAUUGGACAAUGGGCGCAAGCCUGAUCCAGCAAUGCCGCGUGAGUGAUGAAGGCCUUAGGGUUGUAAAGCUCUUUUACCCGGGAUGAUAAUGACAGUACCGGGAGAAUAAGCUCCGGCUAACUCCGUG
rnacentral:rRNA from 1 species